CGAAAUCGGUAGACGCUACGGACUUAAUUGAAUUGAGCCUUAGUAUGGAAAAAUCCGUUGGUUUUAUAGACCGUGAGGGUUCAAGUCCCUCUAUCCCCA
rnacentral:tRNA from 8 species